CUAGCCUAUACCUGACAUUAACCUAGACCGGGUCUUAAAUGAGCCUAGUCAUAUGCCUGUCUCAAACGUUUCGACUAAAAGUUCAUUGAUCAUAUCCGUCUGAAACUUUCAACCAAUUAAUAUUA
ensembl:ncRNA F12A10.12 ncRNA